CCUUCAUCUCACGAUGCUGGUGAAAACGAUGUUGAUGCUGAUGAUGAGCAGCAUGAUGAAGCUACUGUUCACUUUCAUGAUGAUGUUGUUGGCCGUGACGGAGAUGAUGUUGUGGCAGGGGAUGUGACCCUUCAAUCAGAUGAUGCUGAAAGAGUCAAUGUUUCUCAGGCUGCUUCAGUUAUUAAUGCAUCUGCGAAAGGGGAGGGGGACCUUCACUCGCUCGUGGCUAAAGGAGUCCAUGUUCCUGAGGCUGAUUCGAUUAUCAAUGCAUCUGCGGGAGGGGAAGGGGACCUUCAGUCGCUCGUGGUUGAAGGACAACAUCUUCUUUAGUCUUAUGUAGUAGUCAAGGCAGUAGAAAAAGGGGAUAGGAACCUUGCAUCAGUUCAGGCUGAAGGGGACCAUCUUCGUCAAAGCACUUCUGAAGCUAGGGGAACAUGGUUGUUCUCAGUAGAGUCUGAUGUCCAUCAUCGUGCAACACCAAUUUCAGACCUAAUUGAGCAGGCAUAGGUCAAACUGGAGAACAAAUACAUUUCAAGCCCAUACGAUGACCCCUCAGUGAGCCGUCAGGAAAUAAAGGACGCACUGGUGCAAGCAUAAGAAGCUUUCAAGAAAGACGAGUGUGUGAGGUGUGAUGUUGGGAUCUUAGGGGAUCAAGGUGCUGAGUUUUUCACAACAUUAGAAGAUCCCAAAGAAGAAAUGAGUAGUGAACAUAUAGACGUAUGCCUCAGUGUACUCUGUAAGUGGAUGACAAGGCCAAAGUCGAAGUUGUACACUACCCGUGCAUGCGUGGUUGACACAAUAUUCUUCGGGUACAUGGAGGGUGAAAAGCCGACAUAUGGUAAAAAAUGAGAAGAUGUCGAUUUCAUCCUCGCACCUUGCAAUGUGGGCAGGCAUUGGGUGGUAGCGAAGAUCGACUUGGUGAGGUGGACGAUCAAGGUGGUGGACUCUGUAAGAACUGCGGAUGUUAAGGAUAACGGAGUGCGUGCGACUCAAAUGACACCCUUUCGACUAUUAUGCUAAUCAUAUGCCACCAAAUCGGUUAUUUCAACAAAACACGCUGAAAGACACGGGAUUUGACGCUGAUGCCAAUGGAUAUCCAUUUGCCAAAAUCUAAAGUGCAUUGGCAGAACGAUAGUUUCAGCUGCGGUAUGUUCAUGAUAAGGUACAUUGACGAUAUUUUACAAUAAGAAAAUAUCAGAGUUAAGUAGAAUAUGAUUGCAAAUAUGCGUUGCCAAUACACACUAGAAAGUUUUUCCAACAGUUGUGAGAGCGAACCCUGAACAUAUCGACCGUUGUAUGUACAUCAUUUUUUUUGUAUAUAUAAUUAAUUUUAUUAAUUUUAAUAUUCGUA